rnacentral:tRNA from 1 species
AAAGUACUAGUAAAACAAUUACAAUAUCUUGUCAAGAUAUAAUCACGAGUUAAACCCCCGUGUAUUUUA